GGGCUAGUGGCGCAAUGGAUAACGUGUUUAACCACGGAUCAGAAGAUUCUAGGUUUGACUCCUAGCUAGCUCA
rnacentral:tRNA from 1 species